GAUGCCGCGGGCGGGAGCACCAACCCGGGACCUGCCCCAGGCCGGGAAGGCCACGCGGGGGUAAUAAGUCUGGGUUUGAGGGUUAGCAGCGGGGAAGGGAAGGUGAAUGGCAGGGGGACCCUGAGUCUAACAGUGUGAGGCAGUGUCUUGUAUUAACCAGGGCUCGCACCUUACAAUGAAAUUAAAGCAUCUCUGCUCUGAAGGGGAUCUUCUGGGGGCCCGCGAAGGGACCAGGCGUGCGAGGCGGUGGAGAAGGAGAUGCUUUGGCUCUUGGCUGCCGGCGUCAAGGGGAAGCUGUUUUAAGGCCCUUUUGCUUUCAUUCUGAACUGGAGAGAGGGGCUUUUAAUUCAAGUUGGAGAAGGUGAGGGUCUGGUGCGCUGGAUGAAGUAGGACAGCAUUUGGGAGACGGGAAUGUGGAUACUGAUUGAAGAGAGACAGCUCAUCUCACAGACCUUUGAUAAACUGGCCCCCUGAGAAGGGGAAAAUCAUGGCCCCAGCACUGAUAGGAGGGUUCCGUGUGAGCUGGUGGGGCCUUCCCGAGCUUGGAGAAAGAGGACUCCUGCUUGGCUCAGAUGCUGCCCCGCUUCCUUUCCUUCCUCUUCCCAUUCUCAGACCCUGCUGCGGACUUUGCCCAGCCUGCGCCUGGGGUCAGUGGCAGCCCAAGGCAGACUGGCUUCUACACCCAGCUUGCUGCCACCGCUCCUGCCUGGAGGGCAGCUUUGUCUUAAGGGAGUGGCCACCAGAGUAACUUAUGGUGCCUGGUAAAGAUAGCAGUAAAACCAUUUAUAAGUUAGAAAAUCUUCCCUUGCUGCCAGACGAGCAGUGGAAAGUAGGCAGUAGAAGUCAAAACAAGCAGUGGCAAUGAGACCUGACUUUUAGUCCCAGAUCUGCUACUAGUCUUCGUGAAUUUCACAAAGCACUUGCCUUCUCUAUGACUCAGACUCUUCGCCUGAACCACGGAUCCAUCUUUAAGGCCCCACCCAACUCAACAGUAGAAAAAUAUGUAACUUUAUUCUUCCUUAAUUCUUUUCCUUAAUUGCUUUUCUUGACCUGAAAAAGUCAACUCAAACUGUUAUAGGGCAGCCCCAAUACAAAACAGGGUGCCUGACUGUGGGUCCUCACCCGCGCGCUUAAAAAGGACUUAUCAAUGCUCUACUGCAGGCACACGCGAAAGGUUAAUAAAAGGUUUAUUUACAAGGGAAGGGGAAAUGAGGAAAUGUACAGCUCUGGGAGAAGAGUGGGAGACAAAGUUUUAAAUGUGUCCUACCUGAUCCACCGAUCUGGAAUCCCAAAUGGCACCCUGAGAGCUGGCCGCAAGCCAGGAGCCGUGAAGCCAGGAGGCGAGGAGAGAGCAACCCCACCAAGGCCCAUGUGUUUGGUUUUUAUACCAACCCUGGCUGCUUAACUCCACCCUCAGGUCCCAGCCACCUUCCCUUUGGUGGUGACGGGAUUUGUCUUUCCCAAUGUCCUGAUGGCUUUAGUCUGGAGUGGGGGUGGAGUCCACAAAGCCUGUAUGGGAUUAGCACAGGACAUCCUUUCCCCCUAACAAAACUUCACAAUCAAAAUCUUGGUACAGAUCUCUUCUCCUGGCUACUAAGACACCUACCUACUUCUUGAUCAGAAUCCUUUAAAUGAAACAUAUUUUAAACUAUCUCAUAUUCUUGCUGCUUCCCUCCUUCCUUGACACAUGGCCCUGCUAACCAAUGACCCCCUCAAUGCUUUCUGUUGUUCAAUAAACUAAAAGAGCUCACUUCUGAUUAAAUGGAAGUGGGGUCCACAGAUUCUGGCCUCAAAGAGACCUGAGUUUUCUUCCCAAGGUCACAGUUGCUCUGUUUCAUCUAUGCAAUAUCUGUGCACACAGUAAGCAUUUGGAGAGGUGGUCAUUUACUUUUGGGGCUGCUUCACCAGUGAUUGUAAGUUCGUCUCCCUGAGCCCUCCCCUGAAAGGGAACACUUGUGCCUCUAGGACCCUCAUCCCACCUCUAUAAGUGGAAAGGGUUCCACUUAAGAAGGCCGGGUCUUAGGGAUGCAAUCUUUCCAGUAUUGUCUUAAGCCUGGGCUCUGGCAUUCCCUUGCAGCAGCAAGAGACAGUAGAGAAAAUGGGUAGAUGGAGAGAAACUUGUACUGGGAGUCAUCUCUGGCCCAAAUUACUGUAUGACAUUGGGCAGGUCAACUUUCCUCUCUGGGAAUGCUUCCUCAUCUGUAACAUGAAGGGAUCGAGGCUCUUUCUGUGCUGACAGUGCAUCCUCUGUGUCUCUGCAGACAACCAUCAUGGCAGUAGAGUUUGACAGGGUUGUUGUGAUAGGUUCCAAUUCCCAGAUGUUUUCAGGCCAGGCAGUGACAAACCAAGUGUUUGACAAGCUGUCCCCCCGCACCAGUGCAUCUACUGCGCCCUGUUGGGUUCAGCUACUGAUGCCCAGGCCGUGGCGGAUGUGGCUGCCUACCAGCUGGAACUCCUUGGAAUGGAAACGGAAGAACUUCCACUUGUUUUGGCUGCUGCAAACGUGGUGAACAUUCCCUAAAAGUAUCGGGAGGACCCGCCUGCGCAUCUCUUGGUAGCUGGCUGGGACCAACGGGGCCAUGUGAGUCUCUCCCCAUACAUGCCCUCCCUCCUUUGGGGUUCCCCCUCCCCUACAGAAGGGAGUGAAGGUCACAUGUGCCACGGACCAGCACAGCAGUAGACGAUGAGGCCGUCUCAGGGUUGAGAGACUGCGCAGGGUGGUCAGGGAUUCGGUUAAAGAAAUGACAAACAGACACACUUCAAGAGAGAGUGUAAAUCUGAGUGUAAUUUUCUCUGGGUUUGUGGCCAGUAUUUGUAUGUUCUCUAAAAGCAUAGGAACAGUGAAUAUACUUUUCACAAAGUAAUAUUUUUAUUAUUAAAAGCUAACAAAGCCAAGGACAACAGAGAAAUCAUUAAACUAACAAUUCUAUUGUUACACAGAGUUUAGUGAUGUUUCAUUUGUAUUAGCCUUUAUAUUUUUAUUUUUUAAUUAGCAAUUAAUGACCAGAAAAGGGGAAGAUUUUAGAAAGACAGUUGAAGCAGAAUAAAGUUUGUGGGCCUUGAGAAAGCGAGAUAAGGUUCCAGGUGGUCAACAUUUCUUUUAAUCAUCUCUGUGGCAGCUUCUGGUGGUCGUUAUCUCUUGGCAGGCUUUCGGCUUUUUUGCAACUUAGGGAGUUUGCUGUUCUCCCCCUGCGCGCAUGGUUCCUUGCCCACGCCGGGACCUCAGGGACCAUGGCAACAGCCAUUAGCCCUGAGGGUCACUGCAGGGGGUGGUGCAGCAACAUGUCAUUCCUGCAAUGAAUUUCAAAGACUGCCUCUUGAAAGCAUAGUACGUGGGGUAUGGGGUACUGGGCUUCACUGCAGAAAGUGGAGACCACCUGCUUGUCUCAGUGGGAAGGAAGAUUUUUUUCUUCUUCAGUAUUAUAAUCUAUAACUAUUAAGUGGAAUUUUCAAUAUUCACCUUUAUAUUUGCUCAAGACUCGGUAGUGGUGCUCCACUGUCUUUAAUAGUAAACUAAAGCUAUUACUUUCUUACUUUCUUGAUCUACCAAAUUUCUAUAAAUAAUCUUUUAACCCUAUAUCCUCUUACUUUCAACAUGUAACCUUUAUUCUACUUAGGCAAAAUAUGAUUAUUUUCUCUUUAGUGUGACAUAGUCACUCAAUAGCAGUACCUAAUUUAUAUUAUUUCCUUUUACCUCUACAAAUCACUUCCUCUACCACUUUUCUAAAUAUUAUUUGCCCUUAAAGCGCUAAGUCUGUCUCAUGGCUAUGUAAAUACAAAUAAGUUUCUCUGAACUCUUCUGAUUGUCACUCUGUUUUUAGCACUUCAUCAUUUUCUACUUUUGUCACAUGCUUUGUCUACUUGGCCUCUGCAGGUCAAGGAGAUUUUUUCUUUUAAUAUGAAAGACUUUUCCUCUCACCAAACCACCUGUGCCCAUACCUCAUCUGCUCCAUCCCCAAUCUUCCACCGUCUCCUCUAUUCCCUCUGAUAACAAUUAUCUUCUUUUCCUGAGUUCAAGUUUUACUUCUAUUAUCUGCUGCUGUAAAGUCUGACCUGUGAUGCCUCCCCGGGUGUACGGAACCCUGGAUGGAAUGCUGACGCGACAGCCCUUUGCCAUUGGUGGCUCUGGCAGCAUCUACAUCUAUGGUUAUGUGGAUCGUAUAAACCAGGCAUGUCCCCUGAGGAAUGCAGACGCUUCACCACAAAUGGUAACAAGACAGGUGGAAUCGUACCUGGGGACGGUUUUUAACAUGGGAAGGAAGCAGACUGUGAGGAGCAGAGAGACGAAUAUGUGGGUGACCAUUUUCUUUAACGUCCACCCUGGGAUGCUUUUGUGAGUGAAAGGGAGCAGAACAAUUGGAUGGGACAUCAAGACAAGAGGCAUGAACCAGGACUGUUCUGAGUACAGCAAUUAGGGCCAUGGUUACCCUAACAAUCAGUGGUGUGCUGGGGCUGGAUUGGGCCAGCUUGAGAGUUGAUUGCUAAAUAUCCAAGAAUUUGUGAGCUAUUAUUAAGCUGUUUCUAUUAUUAAGCUAUUAUUAAGCUGGAGGUGGGGGACAUCGGGAGAUGCUACACAUGAAGGCAUUUUGUAAAAGCUGAUUUUCCCACACACCACUAAUUACCUCCAGGAGGUGGAUUUUGGGGUCUGAGAUGGAAGUAGGCAUAUGGGCCAGAAGGGAAGGGAAAAGAUCGUUGAAUCUCAGCCACUCUCUCUCCCAUCCUCCAAACCGAAACCGUUUGCAGCUAUCGUUCUGGCCAUGAACCGGGAUGGCUCGAGCGGGGGUGUCAUCUAACUGGUCACCAUUGCAGCUGCCAGUGUGGAUCUUCGAGUAAUCUUGGGCAACGAGCUGCCAAAAUUCUAUGAUGAGUGAAUCUCCUCAGACUUCCCUUCCUUAUUUUGUAAUAAAGAAUCUGAGAACACAACCUGCUCUCGUCAAUGGGAGACAAGUGCUCAGGGAGAGGAAGCCUGGGGAAGGGGCUUCUUGCCUCCCAGAGGUAGCACACCCCUUUUGUUCCUUUGCCACCAUACCAAAAACACCUUUCUCAAAGGAGGGGGUGGGCAUACUAGAAAGAAUCCUAUACAUACUGUGACAUGUAUUGAAUGAUUCUGAAAUACCAGAAAUGAUAAAGUUCUCAUUCUGAACCCCCAAGGGUGAGGUACAAGUGAGGAGUAGGGAGUCAUUCCCUUAAAGCUGGACUGAUAAAUGGGUAGACACCUGAAUGAGCUGAGGGCUCCAAUGAAUGCUCUUGUAAAAGAAUUCCAUUCAUUAAGCAUUUGUUCACACUGGAGAUCAAAGCAUGGCAAAUGCUUAAAUAUUCUGGGAGCACUUGUGAAUUUCAAAGAAUAAUAACAAUAAUCCCAAAAAAGCUACAUUUAUUGAA